rnacentral:rRNA from 1 species
AUUGAACGCUGGCGGAAUGCUUUACACAUGCAAGUCGAACGGCAGCACGGGGGCAGCCCUGAUGGCGAGUGGCGAACGGGUGAGUAAUACAUCGGAACGUGCCCGGUCGUGGGGGAUAACGUAGCGAAAGUUACGCUAAUACCGCAUACGAUCUGAGGAUGAAAGCGGGGGACCUUCGGGCCUCGCGCGAUCGGAGCGGGCGAUGUCAGAUUAGGUAGUGGGUGGGGUAAAGGCGUACCAAGCCGACGAUCUGUAGCUGGUCUGAGAGGACGACCAGCCACACUGGGACUGAGACACGGCCCAGACUCCUACGGGAGGCAGCAGUGGGGAAUUUUGGACAAUGGGCGCAAGCCUGAUCCAGCCAUUCCGCGUGCAGGACGAAGGCCUUCGGGUUGUAAACUGCUUUUGUACGGAACGAAAAGGCUCUGGCUAAUACCUGGGGCUCAUGACGGUACCGUAAGAAUAAGCACCGGCUAACUACGUG